rnacentral:rRNA from 1 species
UCCUACGGGGGGCAGCAGUGAGGAAUCUUGCGCAAUGGGGGCAACCCUGACGCAGCAACGCCGCGUGAGUGAGGAAGGUCUUCGGAUCGUAAAGCUCUGUCAGAUGGAAAGAACCGCAUGGAGGUAAAUAGCCUCCAUGUCUGACGGUACCAUCAGAGGAAGCACCGGCUAACUCCGUGCCAGCAGCCGCGGUAAUACGGGGGGUGCUAGCGUUGUUCGGAAUUAUUGGGCGUAAAGAGCGUGUAGGCGGCCGGAUGUGUCAGAUGUGAAAGCCCUGGGCUUAACCCAGGAAGUGCAUUUGAAACUGUCCGGCUAGAGUAGGGGAGAGGGAAGUGGAAUUCCUGGUGUAGAGGUGAAAUUCGUAGAUAUCAGGAGGAACACCGGUGGCGAAGGCGACUUCCUGGCCCUAUACUGACGCUGAGACGCGAGAGCGUGGGUAGCAAACAGGAUUAGAUACCCCUGUA